UUGAUAUUUUUAAAAUGUGCAAACAGUGGCUUCUAUAUGAUUUUAAAUGUCCCAUUUUUACAAAGUGAAAUUUUAAGACACCGUUUUUUCACGGAAAGUUUCUCGUCCCAAAUUGAUUAUUUUGAUAGUCGAAGCCAUGGGUUAUCUAUUCUUAUUUUGCUUUCUUUCAGUCCCUAUUGUUAAAGCAGGGUUUGCGACGUCAAUAAACUUGGCAACCUCUAACACUGAUAUUUAUGAAGAACAGAGAAACUCUACUUCUGUGACGAUACUUGUAUUGCAAGGUGUCGAUUCGGGGAUCCAUUUACCCUUCGAGAGGAGUUUAAAUUGGAAUUGUGUGGUGGUGAUAACAGGUGAAAAUUGCAGCGACAAAGUUACUUCAAAUUGGGGAUACACAGAUACAUAUUUUCGGGUUGUGUUGCAUACUUUGGAGCCCAGCCUGCUAUAUAACUUGACUAUUCAUGUCAUCGACCGAUCGCCGCCUUCAUAUUUUGGCCAGACCUCCAGCUUCGUUUUGAUUAGCUUAGCGUGCACAAAACUCUGCCUGUCAGUUGUUGGGUACACAUCAUCCACAGUGGAACUGCAAGCAAACUUAAUUCAUCCUCAAUAUCAGUUCACGUGGGCCGAGCAUCACAUAGUUUGCAUUUCAUGCG